GGCACUGGGUUGGUAUAUGGCUGGGCCUGAGAACUAUCCAGGAGUAAACAGUGUGGACAAAGCUGGCAUGGAAAGAGCUCUGGCUGAGAUACAGAUUCUAAACUGGGCCUCAAAAGGGGUUAAAGGGAAGUAAGGCGAUGUCAGUAGAGCUGAAGCUGGGGUUGAGAGGCUUCUUGAGGAACUGGUGUGGUCAGGGGAGCCUUUCAGAAAGUCCCAGCCCUGCUAGACUGUUAGGGCCCUGAGGUGGGGCAGGGGAGGGUGGCGGAUGCAACAGAACAUCGCCCCGGAUGUAAGACCCAGCCAGACAAAGUGACUCAUCACCCUGAUGUCACCCCACAGCCUCAGCUGCUAAUCAUGAUGAAAUAAAUGUCACUGCAAGUUUAAGGAAGACUAUGAGGACCAUGCUGAUUCUGUGGGACCAGGCCCGGGCUCUACCAGCCAGGCCUCUGAACAUGUCAACUUGAGAACUGAAC
rnacentral:lncRNA from 1 species